AGAUGAAUAUUAGUAUAACAUGCAAUGAUAAAAGUCAAAAGAACAAAUCUAUGGAUGAGGGUCUUGGCAUUAUUGAUCCUUCUUCAGUAAGAACAAAGGGAUGUGGGAAAAGAUUGAAAUCAUCAAAGGAGAAAUCAACCUCAAAUUCCAGGCUAUGUCAUGGAUGCGGACAUCGAGGAGUGUCACAUGACAAGCGCAAUUGUCCAAAUUUGCAACAAGGGGGGUAUGUGUUGAUUAAUGAUGCAUUUUUAUUGUAAUUUGACUUGCAAACAUACAUUUAUGUCAUUACAUUUUGUAAAUAUGACAAUGUGUCAAUUAUCAGAUCGACUGAAGAUACUAAUCAUAAUAUUGUUGACGACACGUAUGAACCAGAUUUGACAUCUAUAGCAGGUUCUAACAACAUGCACUAGGAUGAUACAGUAAUGAUUCAUUGCACUAUGGCUGUAUUUGAAGCAACGACUGGUUGCAGGUCUCACUUCGUACAGAACUGCAGAAAUUAAUGCUCCAUUCCUCCUUUAUAAGUCUUGAGCUAAGGGAAGACACUCUUAAACUAUCCAUCUUAUGGUCUGAAACCAAUUCAUAGAAAUCAUAAACGACUUUGACACUACUGGGCCUCCGAGUUCGCGGUCAGCACACAAAAA